GGAGUGGGUUGCCAUUUCCUCCUCCAGGGGAUCUUCCCGAUCCAGGGAUCAAACCCAUGUCUCCUGUGUCUCCUGCACUGACAGGUGGAUUUUUACCGCUGCGCCACUUGGGAAGCUUAGGCUCCCAGGUGAUCACUUAUUUGGACUCGGGUUGCCCCAGGAAGGGGGCCUGACCUUGAGCAAUCACUCUUCUGCUGAGGCAGUCCCCAAGGAGGCUGACAGCUGAGGGCUUUCUGCUGGCAGCACAGCCCUUGGCUGCAAGUGUACGUCCUUCCUGAAGCAGGAUCAUGGAGGGAUCAGAGUUCAACGCAUAAAGUCACAUGAUUAAGCUUGCAGCCAGUAGGCAGUGACAGACUAAGCUAGUACCAAGACAUCAGUUCAGUUCAAUCACUCAGUUGUGUCUGACUCUGCAACCCCAAGGACUGCAGUACGCCAGGCCUUCCUGUCCAUCACCAACUCCUGGAGUUUACUCAAACUCUUGUCCAUUGAGUCGGUGAUGCCAGGACAUCUGACCCCAGCAAUUACGCUCUUCCUUUGCGCUGAGGCUCCGUUUACUCAAAGUCCCAGCGAGCAACUAAUGCCCACAAUCCAAGUUCCCUCCUCGACAUUCUAAAUCAAUUUGCUCUAUUGUCUCCUGAUAUCUCCAAUGGUGGUUCCUCCUGGGAACUUUACCUCUGUGUUUCCUAUGUACUGGAUUCUUUUUUCUUUCUGAACAAACUCUGGCAGUUAAUACUACUUUGGCUGAACUAUUUUGAGUCACUCAGUCAAAAGUAUUUGUUGGUAAAGGGGGUGCUAGGGGCUCAGCCCUCUGCCAGAUGCUGUGGGAUUCUGAGGGCAGACUCAGGCUGCUAGGAGAGCCAAGGCUGCUGCCCUCAGAGUUGUUGGUGACUGAGGCUGGACGAGGGGCCCAGAGGGUGGCCCUAUGAGUCCCAUCUGCUGUGGGGUUCAGAGAAAGGAAAGAGGGACCCAGGCUGGAUUGAAUGGCUCCCAUCCAUCAGACUCCUGGGGCCAGCUUUGCCCCUCUUUUGGAUCCAUAAAGGGCUAGUAACGGGGAAGGGAUUUUAGCAUCAGAGAACCCAAGGAAAACAGUCAUAUUUCUCUUCUCAGACAUAAAACGCAGAGGCCCAGAAGGCAGCAUGACCUGCCCAAGGUAACGCAGUUAGGUGGCAGUGGCAUGGCUAGAUCAAGAACCUGGGUUUCCUGACCCCUGGCCUUGUCCAUCACCCUGAACUGCCCCAGGAAAGGAAGAAAAAAAAAAUGUCAGCAUUCUCACCCGCUACCCCAGAGCAGGCAUGGGACACGGCUGUUCCUGGCUCUUCGAGGGCUAUUUCGUCGUGAGCCAUAAACCCCGGGUAACAAAUGUACCAUUUCACGGUCAGCAAGAGUGGUAACUGUCACUGGAGAAAUAAAACUGAGUUAUUGUUUCCAGUUUCAAAAGAACAGCAACAAGUAUAAAAAAAAAC
ensembl:lncRNA